GGCCCUACUCCUACGGGAGGCAGCAGUGAGGAAUUUUGCGCAAUGGGGGAAACCCUGACGCAGCGACGCCGCGUGGAGGACGAAGGCCUUCGGGUCGUAAACUCCUGUCAGAGGUGAAGAAUGCCCGCAAGGGCUUGACGGUAACCUCAGAGGAAGCCCCGGCUAACUACGUGCCAGCAGCCGCGGUAAUACGUAGGGGGCAAACGUUACUCGGAAUUACUGGGCGUAAAGGGUGCGUAGGCGGCUGGGAAAGUCAAGGAUGAAAUCCCGUGGCUCAACUGCGGAACUGUCCUUGAAACUUCUCAGCUUGAGGAUAAUCGAAGAGRACGGAAUUCCCGGUGGAGCGGUGAAAUGCGUAGAUAUCGGGAGGAACACCUGAGGCGAAAGCGGUUCUCUAGACUACUCCUGACGCUGAGGCRCGAAAGCUAGGGGAGCAAACGGGAUUAGAUACCCCGGUAGUCCUAGCCAUCAACGAUGGAUACUGGAUAUUCCUGCACUCAUGUGGGAGUGUCGAAGCUAACGCGUUAAGUAUCCCGCCUGGGGAGUACGGUCGCAAGAUUGAAACUCAAAGGAAUUGACGGGGGCCCGCACAAGCGGUGGAGCAUGUGGUUUAAUUCGACGCAACGCGAAGAACCUUACCUGGGCUUGAACUGUCGGUAUAGGGACCCGAAAGGGCGACGAUCCCGGGCAACCGGGAAGCCGAUAGAGGUGCUGCAUGGCUGUCGUCAGCUCGUGUCGUGAGAUGUUGGGUUAAGUCCCGCAACGAGCGCAACCCUUGUCUUUAGUUGCCAGCGAGUCAUGUCGGGCACUCUAAGGAGACUGCCUCGGAUAACGAGGAGGAAGGUGGGGAUGACGUCAAGUCAGCAUGGCCUUUAUGUCCAGGGCUACACACGUGCUACAAUGGGCGGUACAGAAGGACGCGAGAUCGCGAGGUCGAGCCAACCCCUAAAACCGUCCUCAGUUCGGAUUGCAGGCUGCAAUUCGCCUGCAUGAAGUCGGAAUCGCUAGUAAUCGCGGAUCAGCUACGCCGCGGUGAAUACGUUCUCGGGCCUUGUACACACCGCCCGUCACAUCACGAAAGCUGGUCGUACCCGAAGUCGCUGAGCCAACCGCAAGGGGGCAGGUGCCGAAGGUAUGGUCGGUGAUUGGGGUGAAGUCGUAACAAGGUAGCCGUACGGGAACGUGCGGCUGGAUCACCUCCUUU
rnacentral:rRNA from 1 species